UACGGGGGGGGCAAGCGUUGUUCGGAAUUACUGGGCGUAAAGGGCUCGUAGGUGGCCAACUAAGUCAGACGUGAAAUCCCUCGGCUUAACCGGGGAACUGCGUCUGAUACUGGAUGGCUAGAGAUUGGGAGAGGGAUGCGGAAUUCCAGGUGUAGCAGUGAAAUGCGUAGAUAUCAUGAGGAAUACCAGAGGCGAAGGCGGCUACCUGGACAAUUGCUGACGCUCAGGCACGAAAGCGUGGGGAGCAAAAGGG
rnacentral:rRNA from 1 species